GCGCUGUUAGCUCAGCUGGGAGAGCGAUUGGGUCACAACCAAUAGGUCACAGGUUCGAGCCCUGUACAGCGCACCA
rnacentral:tRNA from 1 species